UACGUAGGUGGCAAGCGUUGUCCGGAUUUACUGGGCGUAAAGAGCGCGCAGGCGGUCGUUCAAGUCGCGUGUGAAAGCCCCCGGCUCAACUGGGGAGGGUCACGCGAUACUGAUCGACUCGAAGGCAGGAGAGGGUAGUGGAAUUCCGCGUGUAGCAGUGAAAUGCGUAGAUAUGCGGAGGAACACCGAUGGCGAAGGCAAUCCCCUGGGCCUGCACUGACGCUCAUGCACGAAAGCGUGGGGAGCAAACAGG
rnacentral:rRNA from 1 species